UACGUCGGGUGCAAGCGUUAAUCGGAAUUACUGGGCGUAAAGGGUGUGUAGGCGGUUCUUUAAGUUUGGUGUGAAAUCUCCCGGCUUAACCGGGAGGGUGCGCCGAAUACUGAGGGACUAGAGUACGGGAGAGGAAAGUGGAAUUCCUGGUGUAGCGGUGAAAUGCGUAGAUAUCAGGAGGAACACCGGUGGUGUAGACGGCUUUCUGGACCGUAACUGACGCUGAAACACGAAAGCGUGGGUAGCAAACAGG
rnacentral:rRNA from 1 species